ensembl:ncRNA F45B8.11 ncRNA
UAAUAAUCUCAUACGAUUUACGAUGUAGUUCAAGCAUGAACUCAAAGUGACAUAAUCGGAGGCGCGCUGGUGAGUGUGAGCAACACUUUGCUCUUCUUGUCCAGCAAAGGGCAUGUAAGGGACAUUAAUGGAAUUUUUAAGAGCGUGAAGCGCAAGAAUCUCACUGCCAGAAUGCGAAAGUAGGAAAUCUGCAAAAAAGAGGAAACGUCGAAAAACUGUUUCAUCGAAAAUUCAUAGAGCUAAAAAUCCCACGAUUUCUUAGUACAAGGAACUCGAGCUUCAAGAA